rnacentral:rRNA from 1 species
AUGCUGAACUCUGGCCUCAGGUCAGAACUGUCUCAAGAUCUUGAGUCCCUGAUGACUCGACUGAAUCAAAUCCCCGAGCACGUGCAAGAAUGGAAGAAGUCAUCCACUCGCUGUGGUGCUGAUGUCGUGUUGUCUUUGGUCCCAGUGCACUGCAAGGACGUCAAAGAAGACAAGCUAGCGGAACUCAAGGUUGCUAACACGAAGAGGCACACUUUCCAGUCUUUCAUGGACACCUUCCUUGAUGCCUCCACUCGCAUUGCAGACAACAUUGACCUUGACAGUUUCUGCGACCCAGCCAGUCCUUCUCCUGAUGCGUGA